AAACACAAAAGAACAUCACGACAAUAGCUCUCGCAUCGUCCUCUUUUUCUUCCGAUCGAUUCGAUCUCGCCUCGUCGUCCUCUAAACCGAUCUCGCCUCGUCGCCUUUAGAAGACGAAACCCUCGAAGAAAUCGAAGAGACACGCGGCCGAAGAGGAGGAGGAGGAGCAGUCUCCUAAGAAAGCGAAGGAGAGCAAGAAGAAGAAACACAAGAGAUCGAUAUCAUCAGAUGAAUCCGAAGAAGAGGAGGAGCAAUCAUCUCCUAAGAAAUCGAAGGAGAGCAAGAAGAAGAAACACAAGAGAUUGAUAUCAUUUGAUGAAUCCGAAGAAGAAGAAGGAGAAGAGCCAGAGACUACUCAUCAAAUCGUCGAUACGAAGCCCGUUGUUACAACAAAGAAGGAGUCGGAUUCGGAUUUUUAGAAGGUUUUGAGUUCCCCUCUGCUUCCAAAUCUAAAAUGAAGUUCUCUCUCUCAGGCAAGAAGUGGAACGACAGCAAUCAGUCCAAGGCACAAGUGGAAGCGGGUAUGCUGCACAAGCAUGAGGCAACAAUGAGAAGGGAAAGAGCAUUAGCUUAUGCAUUCACACAUCAGGUUCUUAUCUCAUGUGUUGGUUCUGAUCUCACGUCGGCACAAGAGAACAACAAGUUUCUGGUCUUGGUUCUGAUCUUCCCGUGACUUUCUCCUUGUGAUCUCAAGUCGGCACAAGAGAACAACAAGUCUCUGGUCUUGGUUUUUUGUGUUUUUCUUUCACCACAACAAGAGAACAAAGCACGUGAACAACAAGAGAACAACAAGAGAACACCGACCGUGAACAACAAGAGAAGAACGCCCGUGAACUUUUUUGUGUUUUUCUUUCCCCACUUGUGUAUAUAUAGCAAACGAGAAUCAUAUUCAGUCUUCCUUGUGUAUAUAUAGCAAACGAGAAC